GGCGAAAUCCACCAAAAUGCGAAUUGCGAGUGAAGUAGGAGAUGGGUAUCGACAAAGGGAAUAUGGUAGCCCCCUACAAGAUUUUCCUGAUGGUGGUGUCAAAACUUCAAACUCGAAUCUGCCGUGCUUUGGGGUUGCAGCACCCAGGAUGGAGCAGCUGACCGGUAAAACCGCAUGCAGUUCCGCCUUGGCCAUUGAUAUGGUUUGUUGCUCCAUAGCCUCCAGCAUCAUCGCCUGAGCUUUCUUGUCCAGUCUGUGGAUUUCGUCUAUGCAACAGACCCCGCCUGGGCACUGUAGUAAGGCACCCGUGUGCAAGUUCGGCGAGUUGCCCCCAGCGCUCCUAGUUCCGUAGGACAGCCCGAACGCUGUUGUGGAAUUACCGUUCACCAUGGUAGAGUUGGGCCAGAAUUCCGCAAUCUGAAAUGGUGCAGUUUUACAGUCUCCCCAACGAGCAGGACGUGCAGGUCACCCCUCAGGCUGAUGUCCCCCGUCUUUUUCACCCCUCCCACCAGCAUGAGGAUGAGCGCUUUCAAUUCCAUGUCGUACCCGAAGACGGUGGGGAAGAUAAUUCUUCUUGCCACCUCUAACAUGUCGUUGUUUUGGGCCAUCUCGUGGAUCAACUCAAUGGACAGGGGCUCUACCGGCAAAGUGCGCUCCACUGACGACACCAAAAAUCGGUAGUCAUGAGACAUUGCCUUGGGCACCUCGUUGCCGCGCUGAUAAUGUACGGGGUUGGUUUCAGUUUCGGACGUAGUUUGUAUUGCCACACAAAUGGGUGUCCCCACAAAUAUAAAAGUCUCUACAAUCUGAAAACCAAUCCACCAUGUCCCCCUUCACAAUGAAUGUUACAAUUGCGCGCUGGCUGGUUGGAAUUGGUAGAAUCCCCAACUCUUGGAAGUCCACGUAUGUGGAAGAGUACCGAUCGAAGUGGAAUAACUUCUUGUUGUUCAGGCAUCCAGGGUUUCGGCAAACGGCCGGGUAAGUAAACUAAAAAUGAAAUGGAGGUGACGAUCUUUUUCUUUAUUAGGAACAUCUUUUUAAUUACCAUGUACUCCUGCUGAUCAACAGUGUUGAUAAUUCUGCACACUUUGCAAAUGAAUUUGCCCGUCUCAAUUUUGGGAUUGACCGGUGUGCUGGAAACUACCGUCCCUGUCACCGCCACCAGGUGCCCCUUGUGUUUCAAGUACGUCUGACGUACCGGGAUGGUCGGAUUGACACCCUUGAAGGCCAGCCGAACCACGGGGCGCUCCUUUAACAGCACGACAGGGCGCCUUCGGAUACGUGUAGGAAGUUAGCGACGAACUAUGCGCAGCGACGAUGACGUCAUAACCAUUAUGCAUAUAAACAAAGCGGACAUUUACUAGAUCAUUAAUUACGCAAAAAGUAUUGUAAACCAUAACCUGAGGUAAACAAUUUUAGAUUCUACAUUAAAUAAACUAUUUAAUUUCCAAUUUGUAUAAAAAUAUCUCUAAAGAUAAAAAAGUUACGAAGCAUUUUAUUUUUGCUAUACGUUUACUUAGACAAAGUGAUCAUCGUCGACGUAAUAUUUCGCAAAAAGUAUUGUAAACCAUAAACUGCGGUAAACAAUUUUAGAUUCUACAUU